UACGUAGGGUGCAAGCGUUGUCCGGAAUUAUUGGGCGUAAAGAGCUCGUAGGCGGUUUGUUGCGUCGGCUGUGAAAUCCCGAGGCUCAACCUCGGGUCUGCAGUCGAUACGAGCAAACUAGAGUGUUGCAGGGGAGACUGGAAUUCCUGGUGUAGCGGUGAAAUGCGCAGAUAUCAGGAGGAACACCGGUGGCGAAGGCGGGUCUCUGGGCAACAACGUGACGCU
rnacentral:rRNA from 1 species